AGCGCAGGGCCGAUCCGGAGGCGUAGGCCAAGGCCAAAGCGAAAACAAUGAGAACCUUCAUGUUGGUGCCACCUAUGGAAAGUAUGUCCCACUCGGACUCAUCCCACCGCUUUUAUAGCCGUGAGUAGCCCCACAAUCAAGUGACGUCCGUCUUCAUCGCUAUCUGAUCUUCGGGCACCUGCUCAAGUGGCCUCGUCUCCUUGUGUUUUGCCCACCUAUCAUCGGCAUGCGCCUUUCGAGCGAUAUGGGAGCUGAUCUGCGCUUCCCAUCGCCCGUGCUUCUUGAAAAUGCUUAGAUACGAAGCAGUGAAUCGUCAGAAUUCUUCCCGGCCAAAAGAUAAUAUAAGAGGAAUACAAUCGGCAAUAUUUGGGAUUUUUCCAGGGGCCCGUACAUAAUCCAUCGACCAAAUGUUUUAUAGAUAAUGCCCAGCACUGUUUGAUCAGCCAUCGAGGGCCACUCUAGGCGUAGACGACCCCGCUCACCUCGCCAAUCCAAUCCAGAUAGGCGGUGACGCGUGUGAACACCGAUGGAUAGCCCUUCGUGCAGCCCGACUUUUUGCCAUAGGAAGUAAUGCCGAUCAGAACGUCUGUAUGUAAGGUGGGAUCCUCGAAGACCAGCGGUCCGCCGGAGUCGCCAUGGCAAGUGGACUUGCCGCUGGUGGUGUCCAUGCAGAUGUUGCUUUGCUGAAUGUUGGAGUAGGAGAACCGACAGUCCUCGUUGGAUUCCACAAAGCGGACCACAUAACGCAGGGUAUUGGAUAACGCAGCGGAUUCUGUGGAUCAGAAUUUUGCAUGAUCAGAAAAUGGUUAAACGUUAAAUAUACUAAUAUUAUUAUUAUUAAUAAAUAGAUUUACAUUCUAAGCAAACGUCAUAAAAAUAAUAUUAGCAAAUGUGACACUUAAACUAAGCUUUGUUUACACUUUAAAAAUGUAUAAAAUACAUUGGAAAAUUAUCUUGUAAAAAGAAAAGUUUGAAAAGUAAAAGAGUCAUACAUUAAUAUGUUGAUCACUUAUAGUUUGCUUAAUAUUAAUACAUUUAAAUUUGUUUGAGAUUUUUACAAAAAUAAUAAUAAUAAUAUAACAAUAAA